rnacentral:rRNA from 1 species
AAUGAACGCUGGCGGUAGGCCUAACACAUGCAAGUCGAACGGCAGCACAGGAGAGCUUGCUCUCUGGGUGGCGAGUGGCGGACGGGUGAGGAAUACAUCGGAAUCUACCUUGUCGUGGGGGAUAACGUAGGGAAACUUACGCUAAUACCGCAUACGACCUCGGUGGAAGUAGGGACGGCGAGGACGCACGCGAUAGUAUG